rnacentral:lncRNA from 13 species
GAAGCAAUGGUUUUUCUCAAGCAAGUGCCUUCCUGCGUAUUUCACUGCCCUUGAGAAGCUGGAUGCUGCCAGAGGGAGGGAAGCCAUGAGAACAGGCUGCUAUUCACUCAACUCUUCUUGACCUUGGAGAUCUUUUUUAAUGUGUGGGAAAAUAACACAAAAUAUUCCUGACAGUUUUGUGUAUUUUCCUUGCUGGUGGAUGUAAGCAAGAUGCUUUCUAUUACUAAAUGUACCCAAGCCCCAGCCUGUGGCUAUCAAGAAGGUUAUGUCAACAUAAAAGUCACAUUUUAAUUUUCUGUCACCCCAUACCCGCCUGCUGAUUCAGGAUCUUAGCCUGGCCACCCGGCUUCUCCCACCGCCCCCAAUGUUUCUGGGACUGCCUGGAGCAGCUUGGAUGCUCUGUGGCUCAGCUCCAUCACAGUCUUCGGUCCAGCUGCUGUUAUGCUCCUUGUGGGGAGGCCCUGCUCUGCUGUCCCUUCACCUGGCGGUCUCCAGCGGGGCUGCUGAGGCUGUCUCCGGAGCUCCUGAAGAGGCAAGUCUGUUGAAGGCCUGCCUGAAUCCCAGUGUGGUCACCUUGUGCCCUGAGACUAGGGGACAGGUGAUGCCCAGCAGCCCGGCAGCCCCUUCCAGGAGGUAUUUGCUGGCCCUGCUCCUCUGCAUCCUGAAGGGGAGCCCACCCACCUGCAAGGUAUGCAAAUGUUAAGGUGUGUUUCUGCUGUCACGAUACUCAGGGAUAUAUAGUAAAAGAACCCUGAGUCUGCAGGAGCCCUGAAUUCUGCAAGGCUGAAUGUCACAGGCGCUAUACAAAAGGUCCUUUAUGUUCCAUAUGGCUUUCAUUCAUUAUCUCAUUUAAUCCUCACAAAACCCCCUAGAUGUUUUAUCCUCACUUUUCAGAUAAAAAGCAAAGAUUUAGAGCCUUCCAACACCCUCCCUUCCUGCCCUAAGCAGCUUCCCGUAAUAUUAACAUCUCACAUUCAUGUGGCGCUUUUGUUACAGUUGAUGACCACUGUUAAUACAUUAUGUUAACUGAUGUCCAUAGUUUACAUUAAAGUUCACUCUUCUUUUUUUUUUUUUUUUUUUUUUUUUGAGACGGAGUCUCGCUCUGUCACUCAGGCUAGAGGGCAGUGGCUCGAUCUUGGCUCACUGCAACCUCUGCCUCCCAGGUUCAAGUGAUUCUUCUGACUCAGCUUCCUGAGUAGCUGGGAUUACAGGCAUGUGCCACCAUGCUCAAUUAAUUUUUGUAUUUUUAGUAGAGACAGGGUUUCACCAUGUUGGUCAGGCUGGUCUCGAGGUCCUGACCUCAUGAUCCACCCACCUCGGCCUCCCAAAGUGUUGGGAUUACAGGCGUGAGCCAC